rnacentral:rRNA from 1 species
GCAACGAGCGCAACCCUUGCCUUUAGUUUGUCCAGCAGUUCGGCUGGGCACUCUAAAGGGACUGCCGGUGUUAAACCGGAGGAAGGUGGGGAUGACGUCAAGUCCUCAUGGCCUUUAUGACCAGGGCUACACACGUACUACAAUGGCCGAUACAAAGGGCAGCGACACUGCGAGGUGAAGCCAAUCCCGUAAAAUCGGUCUCAGUCCGGAUUGGAGUCUGCAACUCGACUCCAUGAAGUUGGAAUCGCUAGUAAUCGUGGAUCAGCAUGCCACGGUGAAUACGUUCCCCGGCCUU